AAGGGAGACCUAAUUCAGGUAGGAGACGAAAAAAAAGUAGUCCCAACCAAGAAUCAAUCCCAAAAGGUCGGAGCGAGGCGAAAUUGGCUUUCAAACUAGGUUCUGGGUUCACACAAGACCUGAACCAGGAACAAGGGCUAUUAGCUCAGGUGGUUAGAGCGCACCCCUGAUAAGGGUGAGGUCCCUGGUUCGAGUCCAGGAUGGCCCACCUGCACAGGUGGCAAAAACAAGAGAAGCGAGGAAUCAGCACCUUAUCUUAUCUAUAUAUAUAUAGGAGAGAAUGCUGGCUCUGAGUAAAGAGUCCAGAGGAACCUUGAAAACUGCAUAGAGCUAGGUGAAAAAGCCAAAAAAGAAGACCGCAA
rnacentral:tRNA from 1 species